UAUUGUCAUCAUUAUCGCCUGGCUUUUAGUUUAGGAGGAACUAAUUUGCCGUUGCUAACUAAAGACAACGCAAAAUAUGUAUUUAUACACAACUCUCAAUUUUAAAAUGCAGUAAAUAAAUGCCAUGGAAGCGGUCUUUAACUGAAGCUGUUUAGCAAGAAACCCAGGGAAUACUUUGCUGUGUGCUAGCAGUAAUAGAAAAUGUGCUUUGUAGUGAUGGGACGAGCUAACUUAACGUAGCAGUUUUUUCCCCGAAAUACUAGUUUGACUCCCGCCUUUACAUGCUUUAGCAAUCGUGGAGAAUGCGUUUAGGUUUAUUCCCAGAAUUUUUCAUAAAGCUAAUCCUAAAAACAUUGAAGAAAAGCUUGAAGACCCAGGUGGUGUACACUCUAGUGGCGAGCACGUUUACAAAUCAUCCAACCCAGGAGUGCCACUUUGUUUUCCGCUUUGAUAGCGACAUUUUCCCUUCGGACUUCGUAAGCUAAGAAGAGUUGCAAAGCAAUUCCCCGCCAUGGACAACAGAGGGCGUUGCGCUUUCCUGAAGAAUCCUGCCACCAUUAUGAUUGAUCGCUGCAGUUCUCCGUCCUCAGUCUCGAUCAAAGUUAUUUGAAAAAAACGAGUUUUACAUAUCCUUGUGCCAGCCACCCAGCAAGUAGUUACCAUUUUACUGUGAAAUCAACUAAAUAAAAGCGAAGGCUACAGACAGGCUUGUUUUGACUAGCUUCACCGGAGUUUCAACGUGUGUAAACGGUCUUUUUCAAUUCAAUUCAAAGAUACUUUAUUAUUUUGCCGUCCAUCAUGGCGAACGAGCCGAUCCCAUGUGUGGCGUGAGCAUAGACUGUACAUACUGGACAAACGGAUUCCAUAGGCUCCAAUAACACGUUUUUUGUCCAUAAUGGGAGGUGGCCACCACCGCCAUUUUGACCGUGUCACAGGUUCCGUCCAGCCCAGACAAUUCCAUAAAAGGGAAGAGAGGAGGCGCUGAGGGUGGGGCUCUAAGGCUGGGAUCGAGUGACGAACUAGCUACGAGCUAACCUGAAGCUAACCCUGGCUAACCCAAAGCUAAAGCGGAGGUGGGAGCCGAGCUAACGGAUGUAGCCACCUAGCUUCAAUUCAACCGGAGCUAACUGGAACACCCAACGACCUGACCCUCACACGGAGUUUAGGUGGAGGUUUUCUGCGCCUGUUCGUGAGAAGUACCUGUAUUAAAAAAGUUUUAAAUCGGUAAGUUUAUAAUUGAUUUCCGUAAUGAAAACAUUUUGCUUUGAGCAAGUUUUCAGUACAGUUUUUUUCGGCGCUAUCACUCCUGAGUCGCACCAGCCCUUAAAUGUAUCAUGAAGAAGAGAAAAUAUAUUUAAGUCGUAUUUUGGGGGGACAUUUUAUUAUCUUUCUUACAAAAUCUGAGACCAAGCGUUUCACAUUGCAACACAAGCACCGGUAACCAUAACAGAAUGAACAGCCAGCAGAGGAGGGGAUAGCAGUGUUUCAAACCCUCCUGGCCGGAGUGGAGAGCUCAUUCCUGGGCUGGAGCCAGCCCUCAGCACCCCGCCACAGGCUCUAACAGAUGCUGGCGGUGUUUCAUAUAUUUCCAAAACGUAAUACUUGUUUGUAUCUUGUACAGCCAACUAGCCUUUAUUCUGGACUCAGUACAAUUUACCAAAAGUAAAGAGACAUUAUACAGAUGAAGUAAGCACAAGAUAACUUACUGGAAGACACGGAGUUAUCAUCAGAACCAGAACAAGAGAGCCUGAUAACAGUCAUGUGAAAAUAACAGUUAAAAAGUAUGUAUGUAUAAUAGAAAUAAAAAUAUAUUAGAAUUAGUGUAACUCACUGUGAUCCAAACAAAUCAGCCAUAGCUGAAUAGUAAAUAUGACAUGAGGUCUGGGAGUUUUUAAGUUUCAUUCUUUUAUUACAUUUUUUUCUUAGAUCUGUUAAAAGGUCACCAUGGCAGCCUUUGUGUCAACGUCAGCUACACAAAGCAGCAAGUCCAUUUGGAUCAUUGGUGACAGCUACGUGAGGUGUGGCGCCCAGAGAGCUGCAGAGACCGUCGGACACAACCUUGGCCUCCCUGACAUCUGUGUCUCCUGGUUUGGUUGGGGCGGACCAUCGACAUACAUACAUGUGCCGACACUUUGCGCCCUGUUUUAUAAAAUGUAGUGUUAAAAAUAAAUGUUUUUGCUCAA